GGGUUGUGAGGUUAAGCGACUAAGCGUACACGGUGGAUGCCCUGGCAGUCAGAGGCGAUGAAGGACGUGCUAAUCUGCGAUAAGCGUCGGUAAGGUGAUAUGAACCGUUAUAACCGGCGAUUUCCGAAUGGGGAAACCCAGUGUGUUUCGACACACUAUCAUUAACUGAAUCCAUAGGUUAAUGAGGCGAACCGGGGGAACUGAAACAUCUAAGUACCCCGAGGAAAAGAAAUCAACCGAGAUUCCCCCAGUAGCGGCGAGCGAACGGGGAGGAGCCCAGAGCCUGAAUCAGUGUGUGUGUUAGUGGAAGCGUCUGGAAAGGCGCGCGAUACAGGGUGACAGCCCCGUACACAAAAAUGCACAUGCUGUGAGCUCGAUGAGUAGGGCGGGACACGUGGUAUCCUGUCUGAAUAUGGGGGGACCAUCCUCCAAGGCUAAAUACUCCUGACUGACCGAUAGUGAACCAGUACCGUGAGGGAAAGGCGAAAAGAACCCCGGCGAGGGGAGUGAAAAAGAACCUGAAACCGUGUACGUACAAGCAGUGGGAGCACGCUUAGGCGUGUGACUGCGUACCUUUUGUAUAAUGGGUCAGCGACUUAUAUUCUGUAGCAAGGUUAACCGAAUAGGGGAGCCGAAGGGAAACCGAGUCUUAACUGGGCGUUAAGUUGCAGGGUAUAGACCCGAAACCCGGUGAUCUAGCCAUGGGCAGGUUGAAGGUUGGGUAACACUAACUGGAGGACCGAACCGACUAAUGUUGAAAAAUUAGCGGAUGACUUGUGGCUGGGGGUGAAAGGCCAAUCAAACCGGGAGAUAGCUGGUUCUCCCCGAAAGCUAUUUAGGUAGCGCCUCGUGAAUUCAUCUCCGGGGGUAGAGCACUGUUUCGGCAAGGGGGUCAUCCCGACUUACCAACCCGAUGCAAACUGCGAAUACCGGAGAAUGUUAUCACGGGAGACACACGGCGGGUGCUAACGUCCGUCGUGAAGAGGGAAACAACCCAGACCGCCAGCUAAGGUCCCAAAGUCAUGGUUAAGUGGGAAACGAUGUGGGAAGGCCCAGACAGCCAGGAUGUUGGCUUAGAAGCAGCCAUCAUUUAAAGAAAGCGUAAUAGCUCACUGGUCGAGUCGGCCUGCGCGGAAGAUGUAACGGGGCUAAACCAUGCACCGAAGCUGCGGCAGCGACGCUGAUGCGUUGUUGGGUAGGGGAGCGUUCUGUAAGCCUGCGAAGGUGUGCUGUGAGGCAUGCUGGAGGUAUCAGAAGUGCGAAUGCUGACAUAAGUAACGAUAAAGCGGGUGAAAAGCCCGCUCGCCGGAAGACCAAGGGUUCCUGUCCAACGUUAAUCGGGGCAGGGUGAGUCGACCCCUAAGGCGAGGCCGAAAGGCGUAGUCGAUGGGAAACAGGUUAAUAUUCCUGUACUUGGUGUUACUGCGAAGGGGGGACGGAGAAGGCUAUGUUGGCCGGGCGACGGUUGUCCCGGUUUAAGCGUGUAGGCUGGUUUUCCAGGCAAAUCCGGAAAAUCAAGGCUGAGGCGUGAUGACGAGGCACUACGGUGCUGAAGCAACAAAUGCCCUGCUUCCAGGAAAAGCCUCUAAGCAUCAGGUAACAUCAAAUCGUACCCCAAACCGACACAGGUGGUCAGGUAGAGAAUACCAAGGCGCUUGAGAGAACUCGGGUGAAGGAACUAGGCAAAAUGGUGCCGUAACUUCGGGAGAAGGCACGCUGAUAUGUAGGUGAAGUCCCUCGCGGAUGGAGCUGAAAUCAGUCGAAGAUACCAGCUGGCUGCAACUGUUUAUUAAAAACACAGCACUGUGCAAACACGAAAGUGGACGUAUACGGUGUGACGCCUGCCCGGUGCCGGAAGGUUAAUUGAUGGGGUCAGCGCAAGCGAAGCUCUUGAUCGAAGCCCCGGUAAACGGCGGCCGUAACUAUAACGGUCCUAAGGUAGCGAAAUUCCUUGUCGGGUAAGUUCCGACCUGCACGAAUGGCGUAAUGAUGGCCAGGCUGUCUCCACCCGAGACUCAGUGAAAUUGAACUCGCUGUGAAGAUGCAGUGUACCCGCGGCAAGACGGAAAGACCCCGUGAACCUUUACUAUAGCUUGACACUGAACAUUGAGCCUUGAUGUGUAGGAUAGGUGGGAGGCUUAGAAGUGUGGACGCCAGUCUGCAUGGAGCCGACCUUGAAAUACCACCCUUUAAUGUUUGAUGUUCUAACGUUGACCCGUAAUCCGGGUUGCGGACAGUGUCUGGUGGGUAGUUUGACUGGGGCGGUCUCCUCCUAAAGAGUAACGGAGGAGCACGAAGGUUGGCUAAUCCUGGUCGGACAUCAGGAGGUUAGUGCAAUGGCAUAAGCCAGCUUGACUGCGAGCGUGACGGCGCGAGCAGGUGCGAAAGCAGGUCAUAGUGAUCCGGUGGUUCUGAAUGGAAGGGCCAUCGCUCAACGGAUAAAAGGUACUCCGGGGAUAACAGGCUGAUACCGCCCAAGAGUUCAUAUCGACGGCGGUGUUUGGCACCUCGAUGUCGGCUCAUCACAUCCUGGGGCUGAAGUAGGUCCCAAGGGUAUGGCUGUUCGCCAUUUAAAGUGGUACGCGAGCUGGGUUUAGAACGUCGUGAGACAGUUCGGUCCCUAUCUGCCGUGGGCGCUGGAGAACUGAGGGGGGCUGCUCCUAGUACGAGAGGACCGGAGUGGACGCAUCACUGGUGUUCGGGUUGUCAUGCCAAUGGCACUGCCCGGUAGCUAAAUGCGGAAGAGAUAAGUGCUGAAAGCAUCUAAGCACGAAACUUGCCCCGAGAUGAGUUCUCCCUGAC
rnacentral:rRNA from 1 species